CCGAAUUGCAGAGGUCCCGAAGUUCCGAAAUUACCGAAUUUCCGAAGUGACGAAGUUCAGAAGUUGCCGAAGUUCCGAAGUGUCAAAGUGCCGAGGUGCCGAAGUUCCGAAGCAGAGUAUUGCCUAAGUACUAAUAUACUUACCCAGUGAAAGAAGAAGAAUGUUACAUUGUAUACAAUUUUAAAUAAAAAGUAUACAAACAUAGCCAGGAUUCAGCUGUAAGCAUUUGCAACACUUACAACAAUCAAGUAACAUACAUUCAUAUAAAAUGUAAGUUACUUAGCCUGUCAAUGUAAUAACAGGAAUGAAUAAGUAGAUAACUCCCUAAUUCCCACUGUAUUAGGGAGCUAUCUACUAAAAGGCUGAAAGACCUAAAUUGGUCUAUACCGUGAGUAGGGGCAUGUCUAUUAAACAGUGAGCAGCCUAAAUCUUCUGUUGACUGGUCUCUUGGGUCUGGAGUAUAAGCCUAGUGGAUGGGUACAACUCAAAUAUUUAUUAGCUGAUGGUAAGCAUUAUAUCUUGCAGGCACGGCUAUGUAUGUAGCAAGAAUAAAGGUCACCCGCAGUAUGGUUGUUCUUUAUACAUAACGAUUUCCUAAUGUUAUAUCUUGUGCUAUACAGUGCUCUAGUUGAGAUAGCUCAUGAAAUAAAAUAGAUAAAAGCCAAAUAAAGGAAUGCAUUGUAACAACAAGCAUAACUGGAACUGGAAAAUGCAAC